UACGUAGGGGGGCAAGCGUUGUCCGGAAUCAUUGGGCGUAAAGCGCGUGUAGGCGGUCCGGUAAGUCCGCUGUGAAAGUCGGGGGCUCAACCCUCGAAUGCCGGUGGAUACUGUCGGGCUAGAGUGCGGAAGAGGCGAGUGGAAUUCCUGGUGUAGCGGUGAAAUGCGCAGAUAUCAGGAAGAACACCCGUGGCGAAGGCGGUUCUCUGGGACGGUACUGACGCUGAGACGCGAAAGCGUGGGGAGCGAACAGG
rnacentral:rRNA from 1 species